rnacentral:rRNA from 1 species
UUUGAAGUUCUUCAUGACUGAGUGGCGGACGGGUGAGUAACGCGUGGGUAACCUGCCUUGUACUGGGGGAUAGCAGCUGGAAACGGCUGGUAAUACCGCAUAAGCGCACAAUGUUGCAUGACAUGGUGUGAAAAACUCCGGUGGUAUAAGAUGGACCCGCGUCUGAUUAGCUAGUUGGUGAGAUAACAGCCCACCAAGGCGACGAUCAGUAGCCGACCUGAGAGGGUGACCGGCCACAUUGGGACUGAGACACGGCCCAGACUCC